CCGUGGAUCAACACGGUUCAGUUUGUGACUGUUGGUACUAAUUGCAUAUAACUCAGCGUUCGUGUGAGUUGGGGCAGCAAAGCUGUGUCGUGAUGUAUCAGUGACAGCAUGGAGUGGUAUUUCCUGGCAUUUCAUGGGACCUCCACAACAACGCAGAGAAUGAAGACCCUCCAGAGUCCCUUCACACACCGGACCACAACACAGAUACAUCCAUCAGCCCAUCUUCACCGCACUCGACUCAAAACACAUCACUCAUUGACAUGCUCCUGUUUAAUCCGAUGAUUGCGAUGAAAGUGCUGAGGCAUCAGUGGGAAGCGGGAGCUUUGGAAUUGGACGCAGAUGCCGGACCCUAACGAUAAGCAGGAAGUAGCCCCGUGUCGUCCCGUCUCACUGCAGCCAGCAGCUCUUAAAGUCCCCCAGGAGUCUCCGCUUCAGAUCUCCAGCUCCAUCUAUUCCUCCCCUCCACCCCUCUCUCUCUCUCUAUAAAGCUGUCAGUCGCUCUAAGAUGGUUUAGAGGAUCCCCUGCGAUAAUUCCACAUUCACAAAAGCAGCCUGCGGACAAUAGGCCUCUUUAUACCAGUGUGUGUGGGUAGAUUUUAUUUAGCUCGCAGUCAAGCGUUUGAUGAUGGGUCUGGAUAUGCGGGUACAGCCCAUGAGGAGGGGCAUAACGGUGCUCUUCAAACGUUUAACACUGAAGGCUAAAAACAUAUGCAACACAAUAGAGAUACUUAUGAAAGCAGUGUGAAGAAAGGAAGGAUGGACAGAAGACGGGGUUGAGGGAAAGGGGAAGAGGGUCAUUUGUAUGGCCGGACUGAAGUACAUGGCACACGGUGACCUGUCAUUCAAAGCUCUGACAGCAGGGACACGCCCCUUCAGGAAGGUGAUGGAGACGUCGACAAGAGCUGUCACUCCAAAUGACACACAUUCUCAUACGCAUAAACACAAGCGAGCACACACAUAUUGCGGCAGACCCCCUGCAAGUGAACCCAAGUAAAAGAAGCUGUUGGCCUUAAUAUUCAUUUAACGUCAGGAUGUGUUUUCUGCUCUGUGAAAGGUGACAGGCGUGGAGGCAGUGGCUGUGUUAGUCUAUCUCUCUCUCACGCACACGUCCUGACACCUCAAAAGCUUAAAGUCACAGCUUGAGAGAGACACUGUGACCUCUAAACACGAGAACACAAACUCAUAAGUCUUUAGCGCACCUCUCAAUAUUAGCCUGAGGGGUUUGGUUACCUCCUGCAAACUCACCUUCACACUUAAAGGGAUAGUUCAGCCAAAAAUGAAAAUUCUGUCAUCAUUUAUUAACAUUCACGUCAUUCCAUACCUUUAUGACUUUCUUUUCUUUGUGGAACACAACAGGAGAUGUUUAGCAGAAUCUGCGAGCGUCUCUUUUCCAUUCAUUUAAAGUGAAUUUAAAUGGGGUUUUAAAGCUACAAAAAGGACAAAAAAAACUCCAAUAAAGCAUCAGAAAAACUGUUCAUAUGACUUAUGGCUUUAAAAACUGAUAUAUAGCACACAUGAUAGCCUCAAAUGAGGAACAGACUGAAAAUUUAGUCAUUAUUCACUGAAAAUUUUGCUUUGAGAAUCUUGCUUGAAAGCCAUAAUCACCAUUCACUAUCAUUUAUUAUUACAUUUUUCUAUCUUCUUGAUUUUAUUUAAAUCAUAUUUUCAACAUGCAUUAAUUGAAAUUGCUUAGAAUCAGCAUAAAUCUGUUAAUUGUGAAAAUUAAAUAUAAUCAGUUAAAAACUAUGAACAUGGUAAAUAUGGCUAGCUGUGGAACAAGUAUGAUUAAACUAGCUAAAAUAGUUGAGAUUGAAACAUACUGAGUUUACUUAUGAUUAUUUAUAAUAAACAUAUAAAAAAUAUAUAAUAUAUAAACCUGGUUAUUGUGCAUUUUAAACAAAUCUCAUACAUGUUUAAUUUAUGUAUGACUGACAAAAAUGCAUCAUAUGUGUUUACUUUAUGUUAAAAGUUAAAUAUGGAUGUACAUUUUAGACACAGUUAAAAUAUACUAAUCCUAAAUUUAGGCCUAAAUAUGUUUUGAGUAUGUAUAAAAAAGAACAGCUUUUCCAUGAGGGUGAGUAAAGGAUUAAAUUUGGGGUAAACUAUCCCUUUAAUGAAAAUCUGUGUGGCUUUGUGCACCUGAAGUCAACCAUGUCCUAUAGGCUCUUUCCAAAUAAAUGAGCGGCUAGACUGC